CACCGAGGAGGAGGAGCAGCGGACCAAGAGGUGCGAUUGUUUCUUCUCAGUAGACACAGCUAAAGUUGUGAAUCUGCUGCUGGGAAACAACAGCACCGGAUGGAAAAGUUCAACAAAAUGGAAGAAUUCAAGUACCAUCUCAGCUGCGGUUCGAUUGUUGCUGCAGAGAAAGGCCUCUGACUCGCCACUUUGGUUUGGGGCAAAAAAGACUCACUGUCCAGUCUG